GAUGAACGCUGGCGGCGUGCUUAACACAUGCAAGUCGAACGGAAAGGCCCAAGCUUUCUUGGGUACUCGAUUGGCGAACGGGUGAGUAACACGUGGGUGAUCUGCCCUGCACUUCGUGAUAAGCCUUGGAAACUGGGUCUAAUACCGGAUAUGACGAUUUGUUGGAUGCCAUUGUGUAAAGUUUUUUCGGUGUGGGAUGAGCUCGCGGCCUAUCAGCUUGUUGGUGGGGUAAUGGCCUACCAAGGCGUGGACGGGUAGCCGGCCUGAGAGGGUGUACGGCCACACUGGGACCGAGGUAAGGCACAGACUCCUACGGGAGGCAGAAGGGGGGAAGAUUGAACAAUGGGCGCAAGCCUGAUGCAGAGACGCCGCGGGGGGGAUGACGGCCUUAGGGUUGUAAAACCCUUUCGCUAGGGACGAAGCGUUUUUGGGCCGGUACCUGGAGAAGAAGCACCGGCUAACUACGU
rnacentral:rRNA from 1 species